rnacentral:tRNA from 1 species
GCGGAUGUCGUAUAAUGGUAAUACCUCAGCCUUCCAAGCUGAUGCCGCGGGUUCGAUUCCCGCCAUCCGCUCCA